CCUACGGGGGGCAGCAGUGGGGAAUAUUGGACAAUGGGGGCAACCCUGAUCCAGCCAUGCCGCGUGUGUGAAGAAGGCCCUCGGGUUGUAAAGCACUUUCAGUGAGGAAGAACGCCGGGUGGUUAAUACCCAUCAGGAAAGACAUCACUCACAGAAGAAGCACCGGCUAACUCCGUGCCAGCAGCCGCGGUAAUACGGAGGGUGCGAGCGUUAAUCGGAAUUACUGGGCGUAAAGCGCGCGUAGGUGGCUUGAUAAGCCGGUUGUGAAAGCCCCGGGCUCAACCUGGGAACGGCAUCCGGAACUGUCAAGCUAGAGUGAAGGAGAGGAAGGUAGAAUUCCCGGUGUAGCGGUGAAAUGCGUAGAGAUCGGGAGGAAUACCAGUGGCGAAGGCGGCCUUCUGGACUGACACUGACACUGAGGUGCGAAAGCGUGGGUAGCAAACAGGAUUAGAUACCCCUGUAGUC
rnacentral:rRNA from 1 species